CUUCACUGGGCCACGUCUCGGAGUAACCCAAGGAAGCUUGGAAACAACACGGGGAUUAAGGACUUGCUGUUGCCCCACUGGGAUCAGCAAGACUUAUGGCAUUGGUUGUCACUGUUGUCACCAGCUCUCAGCAUGCUCAGCCGUCUGGGACGUGAGUGCACAUGUUCCCGUUCUGCCUAGAAUGGACCAAGUGCCAAUGCCAUUUCUCCUUGGAAAUGAUUCUCCUGAGGAAUCCCACCAACUGCAGUGGUGUUUCAUGGCUGAGAGUUUGCACCUCAAAGCUACUAUUGGAGAGAGGCUUCAUUAUGUGUGUGCUUUCCUGUGGGCCUGGCAGGAAAACAGAGACCAAAAGAAAGGAAAAUAAAAAAACCUCUAACCCUGAUGCUGGAAACAUCUGGAUUUUUAUAUGCGUUUAGCAUCUCAGGAGAGUUUGUUUUUGUUUGUCCUCCUUGCCAAUAAAGUCAAUGCUUUUCACUGAAAUAUAUGGGAA
rnacentral:lncRNA from 1 species